rnacentral:lncRNA from 1 species
AUGUUGGUCCUAAGAGCCAGGGGUGAAGAGGGGCUGGCUCUCUGUCCCCUCGUCGCGGGGGUUGCUUCCCCCCCUGCGAUGGAGGUCCCAAGAGCCAAGGGGGGAAGAGGGGCUGGCUCUCAGUCCCUGCCUCGCGGGGGUGCCUCCCGCCCUGGGAUGGGGAUCCAAAGAGCCAGGGGGGUAAAAAGGGCUGGCUCUCAGUCCCCGCCUCACAGAGGGUGCCUCCCCCCCCCGCGAUGGGAGUCCCAAGAAUCAGGGGGCGAAGAGAGGCUGGCUCUCAGCCACCACAAAAUGGGGGGCCUUUAUGUUCAGGUUUUGCCCAAGAGUCAGCUCAUUUGCUUCUUGUACUAGCAGGGGAGUUGCUGCCAAGGCCCUCAAACAGGGGGGCCAUCCUUUAGAAACCCUGUCUAGUUGUUCAGAGACAUAGGCCACCGGCCUCAUCCAAGGCCCCACAGUUUGGGUUAAAAGUCCACCUGCCAUCUUUUCUCUCUCUGACGCAUACAAUGGAAAAGGUUUUGUCAGAUCGGGUAACCCCAGGGCUGAAGCUGCCAGAAGUUUUUCCUUUAACUCAUGAAAGACUUGCUGUUGUUAGGAUCCCCAUUCCAAAGGUUCCCGGUCCCCGCCCCCUUUGUGACCUCAUACAAAGGCUUGGCUUAUAUUGCAAAGUUUGGGAUCCACAGUCUACAAAACCCCACAGCUCCUGAGAAUUCUCUCGCCUGCCUUUGGCCCUUAGGCUCUGGUAGAUUGCAAAUAACAUGCUUUCUUUCUGUUCCCGGGUGGCUUCGGACCCCUGUCGGAUCGGAAAUCCCAAGGAGGCGUCGGACCCCGUCCGAUAGUAAAUCCCAAGUAAGGUACCUGCCGUCGGCAGAUUUGAGCUUUCUGCCUGGACACCUAAUACCCACAGUCCUCCAGGCUCUGGUAGAUUGCAAAUAACCUGCUUUCUUUCUGUUCCCGGGCGGCGUGGGACCCCUGUCGGAUAGUCAAUCCCAAUUAAGGUACCCGCCGUCGGCAGAUUUGAGCUUUCUUCUUGGACACCUAAUACCCACAGUCCUCCAGGCUCUGGUAGAUUGCAAAUGACCUGCUUACUUUCUGUUCCCGGGCUGCGUUCUGACACCUGUUGGACAGUAAAUCCCAAGUAAGGUACCUGCCUUCGGCAGAUUUGAGCUUUCUUCUUGGACACCUAUACCCACAGUCCUCCAGGAGGGUCCUAAGGAUAACUUCAGGAAGUGGGUAUUAAUUCUCACUGUAUAAGUGAAGACAUUAAGCACCAGAGUUUAAGUAGCUUGAUCCACUGAAAGAGAUUCAACUGUGUGGAACCUAUGCCGCGGAGAAUUGCUUUCUGCCAUUGUUAUUGUCCAGCAGUUGCCGAAUAGCUCUGACCUGAGCAAAGCAGUGAAACGCGGUGCUGUUGAGUGGGUUGCCACUGCACCUUUUUCAACUACUCUAGUCUUGUGGAGAAAACACCCCUUCUAAAUUUUUUCUUCAUUGAAUACUCUCCCUCAGCUCCAGGGUACCAUAUAGAGUUUUCUUGUAUUUUAGAGUUACUGUUUUAUCAAAGUGUACCAGUCUUUUGUAUUACAUUUCUCCUGUCUAAAUCA